GACGAAGGGGGCUAGCGUUGCUCGGAAUUACUGGGCGUAAAGCGCACGUAGGCGGUCUUUUAAGUCGGUGGUGAAAUCCUGGAGCUCAACUCCAGAACUGCCUUCGAUACUGGAAGACUUGAGUCCGGGAGAGGUGAGUGGAACUGCGAGUGUAGAGGUGAAAUUCGUAGAUAUUCGCAAGAACACCAGUGGCGAAGGCGGCUCACUGGCCCGGUACUGACGCUGAGGUGCGAAAGCGUGGGGAGCAAACAGG
rnacentral:rRNA from 1 species